rnacentral:rRNA from 1 species
GAUGAACGCUGGCGGCGUGCCUAAUACAUGCAAGUCGAGCGAAUGGAUUAAGAGCUUGCUCUUAUGAAGUUAGCGGCGGACGGGUGAGUAACACGUGGGUAACCUGCCCAUAAGACUGGGAUAACUCCGGGAAACCGGGGCUAAUACCGGAUAACAUUUUGAACCGCAUGGUUCGAAAUUGAAAGGCGGCUUCGGCUGUCACUUAUGGAUGGACCCGCGUCGCAUUAGCUAGUUGGUGAGGUAACGGCUCACCAAGGCAGCGAUGCGUAGCCGACCUGAGAAGGUGAUCGGCCACACUGGGACUGAGACACGGCCCAGACUCCUACGGGAGGCAGCAGUAGGGAAUCUUCCGCAAUGGACGAAAGUCUGACGGAGCAACGCUGCGUGAGUGAUGAAGGCUUUCGGGUCGUAAAACUCUGUUGUUAGGGAAGAACAAGUGCUAGUUGAAUAAGCUGGCACCUUGACGGUACCUAACCAGAAAGCCACGGCUAACUACGUGCCAGCAGCCGCAGUAA